rnacentral:tRNA from 1 species
GGGGGUACAGCUCAGUGGUAGAGUGUGUGCUUAGCAUGCACGAGGUCCUGGGUUCAAUCACCAGUACCUCUA